rnacentral:tRNA from 1 species
GAUAGCUCAACUGGUAGAGCAUGAGACCCCUUAAUCUCAGGGUUGUGGGUUCAAGCCCCACAUUGGCCU